rnacentral:piRNA from 1 species
UCGAAUCAAACGGGAAGAGAGUGGGA